AUGUAGAGCACUUGUCUUAUCACACAGGCAAGUAGUCCUUCCAAGUCCAAUCAGACUUCGGUAGCAUUUUCUGCCAUCUUGCGUGAGUUAUCUGUGAAAGAGACAAAAAUUAAAUAAUUUGCAGGCCUACGUUUCAACAAUUGGAAAUUCCCAUCGAUUUGAUGAUGUCAUUCAUUACACACAUGCUUUGAAGCAAGAGAGCGCUGCGAUGCAUCAUGACAUUGCCGUCUGAUAUCAAGAGGAGAGUAACGUAUUUACCUCGACUGUUUUAAAGAAAACUUGAGGAAUAUCUAAAGCCUGUGUCGUCAUAACAAGGAAAGUCUGUCUUCCACGCCAACCUUGGAUCGGGAGUUAAACUACUCUGCACAAGUUGAAGUUUAAAAUCGGCAGGCAUAUUGUGACGCUGCGGUUGUCCAACCCAAGACCACGUCCAUUUCACUGGAGAAGCUAUGAUGACAGACGUCUUGAAGGUGUUUUUUAUUGGGACAGCGUUCUUCACUGUCCUCGCCGCGCUGAUGGGAAUGGUGGAUUCAUUUGGUGGUCUCAUGUAUGUCCAAGACGCGGAUCCUGCAGAGUAUUUACAGUUGGACAGCAGUACUGACAUACGGAUGUCUUCAACCCAUUCGAGAGGUUCAGGGAGUACCAAACGCAUUGGACCAUGAUGAGGACGUCAUGUGGAGUAGAAUUAACACGAACAGGCUUGGUUUAUGUUAUGUUUUCGUGUGUCAAUUACUGCUUGCACUGUACAAUGUGUACACUGAUUUUUACAAUAACAUUAUUGAGUAUUUUAUCAUGGUUCCUUUCAGUUCCACUAGUUGGUGUCCCACUCCCACUGGGCAAAAACUGGUUGAAUCAGCGCUGUUUCCACGUUAUUUCAACCCCUGACAAAUCUAUGUGAUGACGUUGAAUGAGUGGAAAACUGAUUGGAUUUGCAAAAAGUCAUCAACGUAUGGGCACUCUGUCUCUUUUUUUAACAUGAAUCCAAUGACAUGGUGAUAUUUUUUGUUGAAUUGUGCAAUUCAGAACUAGACGUGUAACUGACGUCUGUGCGCAGUGGGGUUUGAUUUAUACAGGUCACACGGGUUUGAUGAGUUUAACUUGUUUUUCACAUUUGAAGAACACCCUAGUUGAUGUUUAUAGUAGGCUAUUACUAAAGUACUAGGUCAUAUUGACAGCUAUUAUUAUGUAUUUAUAUCCACUAUAUACUAUACUAAUACUUACUUGGUAGGACAGCAGGUAGAGCGUUGGGGCUGUAACUGAAAGAUCGCAGGUUUGAAUCCCCGAGCUGACUAGGGGGAAAAAUCUGUCUGUGCCCUUGAGCAAGUUACUUAAUUUAGCAAACGCUAAAUCGCUCUGGAUGGGAGCGUCUGCUAAAUGACAAAAAUGUACUAAUCUGUAUACAUGGUAUUUGCCUAUAUCGUGUAGGCUAUUUGUUGUAUAUUGAAGAUCACAUCAUGUGUAAAAGAAAAAGGGCUACAUUAUGCACUAAUUGACUCUUCAUCAUGCACUGUAAUAUUGUGUCAUAAAGAAAGUUGUAAAGAAUAAACACUUUUAUAGGCUAUUGUCAAUAAAAUGAAUAGACACUA